UUAAGGGCGCACGGUGGAUGCCUUGGCACUAGAAGCCGAUGAAGGACGUUACUAACGACGAUAUGCUUUGGGGAGCUGUAAGUAAGCUUUGAUCCAGAGAUUUCCGAAUGGGGAAACCCAGCAUGAGUUAUGUCAUGUUAUCGAUAUGUGAAUACAUAGCAUAUCAGAAGGCACACCCGGAGAACUGAAACAUCUUAGUACCCGGAGGAAGAGAAAGAAAAUUCGAUUCCCUUAGUAGCGGCGAGCGAAACGGGAAGAGCCCAAACCAAAAAGCUUGCUUGUUGGGGUUGUAGGACACUCUAUACGGAGUUACAAAGGACGACAUUAGACGAAUCAUCUGGAAAGAUGAAUCAAAGAAGGUAAUAAUCCUGUAGUCGAAAAUGUUGUCUCUCUUGAGUGGAUCCUGAGUACGACGGAGCACGUGAAAUUCCGUCGGAAUCUGGGAGGACCAUCUCCUAAGGCUAAAUACUCUCUAGUGACCGAUAGUGAACCAGUACCGUGAGGGAAAGGUGAAAAGCACCCCGGAAGGAGAGUGAAAUAGAACCUGAAACCGUGUGCUUACAAGUAGUCAGAGCCCGUUAAUGGGUGAUGGCGUGCCUUUUGUAGAAUGAACCGGCGAGUUACGAUUUGAUGCAAGGUUAAGCAGUAAAUGUGGAGCCGUAGCGAAAGCGAGUCUGAAUAGGGCGUUUAGUAUUUGGUCGUAGACCCGAAACCAGGUGAUCUACCCUUGGUCAGGUUGAAGUUCAGGUAACACUGAAUGGAGGACCGAACCGACUUACGUUGAAAAGUGAGCGGAUGAACUGAGGGUAGCGGAGAAAUUCCAAUCGAACCUGGAGAUAGCUGGUUCUCUCCGAAAUAGCUUUAGGGCUAGCCUCAAGUGAUGAUUAUUGGAGGUAGAGCACUGUUUGGACGAGGGGCCCCUCUCGGGUUACCGAAUUCAGACAAACUCCGAAUGCCAAUUAAUUUAACUUGGGAGUCAGAACAUGGGUGAUAAGGUCCGUGUUCGAAAGGGAAACAGCCCAGACCACCAGCUAAGGUCCCAAAAUAUAUGUUAAGUGGAAAAGGAUGUGGCGUUGCCCAGACAACUAGGAUGUUGGCUUAGAAGCAGCCAUCAUUUAAAGAGUGCGUAAUAGCUCACUAGUCGAGUGACACUGCGCCGAAAAUGUACCGGGGCUAAACAUAUUACCGAAGCUGUGGAUUGUCCUUUGGACAAUGGUAGGAGAGCGUUCUAAGGGCGUUGAAGCAUGAUCGUAAGGACAUGUGGAGCGCUUAGAAGUGAGAAUGCCGGUGUGAGUAGCGAAAGACGGGUGAGAAUCCCGUCCACCGAUUGACUAAGGUUUCCAGAGGAAGGCUCGUCCGCUCUGGGUUAGUCGGGUCCUAAGCUGAGGCCGACAGGCGUAGGCGAUGGAUAACAGGUUGAUAUUCCUGUACCACCUAUAAUCGUUUUAAUCGAUGGGGGGACGCAGUAGGAUAGGCGAAGCGUGCGAUUGGAUUGCACGUCUAAGCAGUAAGGCUGAGUAUUAGGCAAAUCCGGUACUCGUUAAGGCUGAGCUGUGAUGGGGAGAAGACAUUGAGUCUUCGAGUCGUUGAUUUCACACUGCCGAGAAAAGCCUCUAGAUAGAAAAUAGGUGCCCGUACCGCAAACCGACACAGGUAGUCAAGAUGAGAAUUCUAAGGUGAGCGAGCGAACUCUCGUUAAGGAACUCGGCAAAAUGACCCCGUAACUUCGGGAGAAGGGGUGCUCUUUAGGGUUAACGCCCAGAAGAGCCGCAGUGAAUAGGCCCAAGCGACUGUUUAUCAAAAACACAGGUCUCUGCUAAACCGUAAGGUGAUGUAUAGGGGCUGACGCCUGCCCGGUGCUGGAAGGUUAAGAGGAGUGGUUAGCUUCUGCGAAGCUACGAAUCGAAGCCCCAGUAAACGGCGGCCGUAACUAUAACGGUCCUAAGGUAGCGAAAUUCCUUGUCGGGUAAGUUCCGACCCGCACGAAAGGCGUAACGAUUUGGGCACUGUCUCAACGAGAGACUCGGUGAAAUCAUAGUACCUGUGAAGAUGCAGGUUACCCGCGACAGGACGGAAAGACCCCGUGGAGCUUUACUGUAGCCUGAUAUUGAAAUUCGGCACAGCUUGUACAGGAUAGGUAGGAGCCUUUGAAACGUGAGCGCUAGCUUACGUGGAGGCGCUGGUGGGAUACUACCCUAGCUGUGUUGGCUUUCUAACCCGCACCACUUAUCGUGGUGGGAGACAGUGUCAGGCGGGCAGUUUGACUGGGGCGGUCGCCUCCUAAAAGGUAACGGAGGCGCUCAAAGGUUCCCUCAGAAUGGUUGGAAAUCAUUCAUAGAGUGUAAAGGCAUAAGGGAGCUUGACUGCGAGACCUACAAGUCGAGCAGGGUCGAAAGACGGACUUAGUGAUCCGGUGGUUCCGCAUGGAAGGGCCAUCGCUCAACGGAUAAAAGCUACCCCGGGGAUAACAGGCUUAUCUCCCCCAAGAGUUCACAUCGACGGGGAGGUUUGGCACCUCGAUGUCGGCUCAUCGCAUCCUGGGGCUGUAGUCGGUCCCAAGGGUUGGGCUGUUCGCCCAUUAAAGCGGUACGCGAGCUGGGUUCAGAACGUCGUGAGACAGUUCGGUCCCUAUCCGUCGUGGGCGUAGGAAAUUUGAGAGGAGCUGUCCUUAGUACGAGAGGACCGGGAUGGACAUACCUCUGGUGUACCAGUUGUCGUGCCAACGGCAUAGCUGGGUAGCUAUGUGUGGACGGGAUAAGUGCUGAAAGCAUCUAAGCAUGAAGCCCCCCUCAAGAUGAGAUUUCCCAACUUCGGUUAUAAGAUCCCUCAAAGAUGAUGAGGUUAAUAGGUUCGAGGUGGAAGCAUGGUGACAUGUGGAGCUGACGAAUACUAAUCGAUCGAAGACUUAAUC
rnacentral:rRNA from 1 species